rnacentral:rRNA from 1 species
UACAGAGGUCUCAAGCGUUGUUCGGAUUCAUUGGGCGUAAAGGGUGCGUAGGCGGCGCGGUAAGUCGGGUGUGAAAUCUCGGAGCUUAACUCCGAAACUGCAUUCGAUACUGCCGUGCUUGAGGACUGGAGAGGAGACUGGAAUUUACGGUGUAGCGGUGAAAUGCGCAGAGAUCGGGAGGAACACCCGUAGCGAAGGCGGCACUCUGGGCCGGUACUGACGCUGAGGAGCGAAAGCGUGGGGAGCAAACAGGG